UUGGGUGUAGCUCUGUGGUCAAGCACAUGCUUAGCAUGUGUGAGGCCCUGGGUUCAAUCCCCAGCAUAAAAG
rnacentral:tRNA from 1 species